UGGGGAAUAUUGGACAAUGGGGGGAACCCUGAUCCAGCCAUGCCGCGUGUGUGAAGAAGGCCUUAUGGUUGUAAUGCACUUUAAGCGAGGAGGAGGGUACUGGUAUUAAUACUACCAGCUACUGGACGUUACUCGCAGAAUAAGCACCGGCUAACUCUGUGCCAGCAGCCGCGGUAAUACAGAGGGUGCGAGCGUUAAUCGGAUUUACUGGGCGUAAAGCGUGCGUAGGCGGCUAAUUGAGUCGGAUGUGAAAUCCCCGAGCUUAACUUGGGAAUUGCAUUCGAUACUGGUUAGCUAGAGUGUGGGAGAGGAUGGUAGAAUUCCAGGUGUAGCAGUGAAAUGCGUAGAGAUCUGGAGGAAUACCGAUGGCGAAGGCAGCCAUCUGACCUAACACUGACGCUGAGGUACGAAAGCAUGGGGAGCAAACAGG
rnacentral:rRNA from 1 species